GCCAGUACUCGUGGCCUGUACGACCCCGGCACUGGACAUUGGGUACCGGGUCGUGGCAUGACCCGGUUCCAAUGCUUCAACAUGGGCACCGGGUCGUGCCAGAAACCGGUACCAAAUGGAGAAUGCGACAAAGGCAUCGGUUUGUGACAUUGACCGGUGCCCAUUUUGUAGUCAUUGGCACCGGUUGAAUGAAUGCACCGGGACCAAAAGAUGGUGGGCCCCUCCCUUCUCGAUAUUUUUAAACCUUGUUGGCUCCUCUCAUCUAUAUCUCUACCUCUCAUUUCUCUACUUCUCAUCUCUCUCUACCUUAUCAUUUCUCGCUCAAGAAACCGGGCGUAGAUAGGAUCCCGGGCAGCCGGCCGCCGCCGCCGCGGAGCGCGUGCGCGGCAAGGUGUGCGGGCAGCUGGCCGCUGGCCACCGCUGCGGGGCUGCGCAGGGCGCCGACCGCAGCCGUGGGGGCCCGGCCGCCACUGCCGCCGUGGAGCGCGCGGGCAGCUGGCGGGUGGCCGCUGCCGUGGGGACGCGGGAGCCGGCCGUGGGGUGCAGGCGCACGGGCAGCUCGCCGUCGCCAGUUGCCAUGACCGUGGAGGUGUGCGUGAAGACCGCCGUCGGCCCCCGACACCCUCGGCGACUGCCCCUUCUCCCAGAGGGUCCUGCUCACGCUGGAGGAGAAGAAGGUCCCCUACGAGAUGAAGCUCGUCGACCUCAGCAACAAGCUGGGGGAGCUGGCCGCCCCAUAGACCUCGAAGCAUAGACCAGGCGCUGGUGCACGGGCCACGAGUAGCUGACCGCAGGUCGCCGUUGGGAGAGUGCGCAGGCCGCCGCCGUGGGUGAUUUUUUUUCUUACUUUUUUGAAAUAGAGAUGCACGUGGAAUUGUAUGGAUUGUAGCUAUCUUAUGGGAUUGUAUCUAUCUUAUGAACGAUUCUCUGAAUGCUUUGUGGGAUCUAAGAGUAUUUUGUUGGGGUUGAUUCAA